CCUUUAUCAGGGGAAUAGCCUUUCGAAAGGAAGAUUAAUACUCCAUAAUAUAUGAACAGGCAUCUGAUUAUAUUGAAAACUCCGGUGGAUAAAGAUGGGCACGCGCAAGAUUAGAUAGUUGGUGAGGUAACGGCUCACCAAGUCAAUGAUCUUUAGGGGUCCUGAGAGGGAGAUCCCCCACACUGGUACUGAGACACGGACCAGACUCCUAC
rnacentral:rRNA from 1 species